rnacentral:rRNA from 1 species
AGGAUAUUCCUUGUGAAUCUGCGAGGACCACCUCGUAAGGCUAAGUACGACCAGCGACCGAUAGUGAACAAGUACCGUGAGGGAAAGGUGAAAAGUACCCCGGCGAGGGGAGUGAAAUAGUACCUGAAACCAAUAGCUUACAAGCAGUAGGAGGGAUUUUAUAUCCUGACUGCCUGCCUUUUGAAGAAUGAGCCUACGAGUUAUCCGUAUGUGGCAAGGUUAAGGAGUAAAUCCGUAGCCGCAGCGAAAGCGAGUUUUAAUAGAGCGUCUAGUCGCAUGCGAUAGACCCGAAGCCAAGUGAUCUAUCCAUGGGCAGGGUGAAGCGGAAGUAAGAUUUCGUGAAGGCCCGAACCCACUGAUGUUGCAAAAUCAGGGGAUGACCUGUGGAUAGGGGUGAAAGGCCAAUCAAACUUGGUGAUAGCUGGUUCUCUCCGAAAUGUCUUUAGGGACAGCGUUAUAUGUUGCGCUUUGGAGGUAGAGCACUGAUUGGGCUAGGGGGCCAACAAGCUUACUGAACUCAGUCAAACUCCGAAUGCCAAAGUGUAUAAAUAUAGCAGUGAGCCUAUGGGGGAUAAGCUCCAUAGACGAGAGGGAAACAACCCAGAUCAUCAGCUAAGGCCCCUAAAUGUAUGUUAAGUGUGAAACGAUGUGAGAGUGUUCAGACAGCCAGGAGGUUGGCUUAGAAGCAGCCAUUCCUUUAAAGAGUGCGUAACAGCUCACUGGUCGAAUGUUCUCGCGCGGAAAAUGUAACGGGGCUAAACAUACUGCCGAAGCUAUGGGAUCUUACUAAUCUUGAUAUUUAUAUCCAGGAGGUAAGAUCGGUAGGAGAGCGUUGUAUGGACAGCGAAGCAGCAACGUAAGUUAGUUGUGGAGACCAUACAAGUGAGAAUGUAGGCAUGAGUAGCGAAGGAAGAGUGAGAAUCUCUUCCGCCGAAUGUCCAAGGGUUCCUGGGGAAGGUUCGUCCGCCCAGGGUUAGUCGGGACCUAAGGCGAGGUCGAGAGACGUAGUCGAUGGAUAACAGAUUGAUAUUUCUGUACCACUAAUAACACGCCCAAAUCGAAUAUAUGUUGCUAAGGAAAGCCCUUCGGGGCCUACCGACCCACAUAUUACUAGAUUAGCGAUGGAGCAACGGAGAAGGAUAGAUGAACCCAGGCGAUGGUUGUCCUGGGGUAAGUGAGUAGGGUUGUUAAUAGGCAAAUCCGUUAACAAUAAACCUGAGACACGAUGCCGAGCCGCUUUUAGGCGAAGUCAUUGAUUCCAUACUUCCAAGAAAAACUUCUAGUUAGUUUUAUUAGUGCCCGUACCCCAAACCGACACAGGUGGACAAGUAGAGAAUACUAAGGCGAGCGAGAGAACUCUGGUUAAGGAACUCGGCAAAAUAGUUCCGUAACUUCGGGAGAAGGAACGCCCAAGUAAAGUGAUUAAUUAACUUUAUAAGCUUGAAAGGGCCGCAGUGAUCAGACUCAAGCGACUGUUUAUCAAAAACACAGGAGGAUGCAAAGUUCUAAUACAACGUAUAUCCUCUGACACCUGCCCGGUGCUGGAAGGUUAAGUGGAGAGGUUAGCUUCGGCGAAGCUUUGAAAUUAAGCCCCAGUAAACGGCGGCCGUAACUAUAACGGUCCUAAGGUAGCGAAAUUCCUUGUCGGGU